GACGGAGGGUGCAAGCGUUGUUCGGAAUUACUGGGCGUAAAGCGCGGGCAGGUGGCCUUUUAAGUCCUUUGUGAAAUUCCGGAGCUCAACUCCGGACAUGCAUAGGAUACUGGAAGGCUAGAGACUGGUAGAGGCGAGCGGAAUUCCUGGUGUAGCGGUGGAAUGCGUAGAUAUCAGGAAGAACACCCGUGGCGAAGGCGGCUCUCUGGGACGGUACUGACGCUGAGACGCGAAAGCGUGGGGAGCGAACAGG
rnacentral:rRNA from 1 species